GAUGAACGCUAGCUACAGGCUUAACACAUGCAAGUCGAGGGGCAGCAUGUCGGUUGCUUGCAACCGAUGAUGGCGACCGGCGCACGGGUGAGUAACGCGUAUCCAACCUACCCUUGUCCAUCGGAUAACCCGUCGAAAGGCGGCCUAACACGAUAUGCGGUUCUCAGCAGGCAUCUAACGAGAACGAAAUGUGAAGGAGAAGGAUGGGGAUGCGUCUGAUUAGCUUGUUGGCGGGGUAACGGCCCACCAAGGCGACGAUCAGUAGGGGUUCCUGAGAGGAAGGUCCCCCCANAUUGGAACUGAGACACGGUCCAAACUCCUACGGGAGGCAGCAGUGAGGAAUA
rnacentral:rRNA from 1 species